rnacentral:lncRNA from 1 species
GCCACAUGCUGUUUUUCAUCUCCCAGCAUUGUACCCUUACUCCUCCUCUUUAUAUUGAAGUAACACAGUGAAACAUGCUGUGUGUAUCUGGGGGAGGAGAGGAAAACAGAGAAGUUGCAACUAUGGGGAUGGAUUUGGAGCAAUCCAGAUUUCAUUUGCCCCCUUUCCACAAGAAGGUUGUGGAAGCUGUGCUCCUGACCCAUUUGUUCUUCCAUUACGCUGUAAUGUUUGGAAAAAUACACAGCAGGAUUUAUGGAAAGUGCUUCAAAGCCUAAUUUUCCUCUCCAAAUCUCCAGCAGGUAUCUCUCCGAGCUCCGCUUCACAUGGUGAGUCAGUGCCAACGUUAACAAAAAAUCUCUUUUGAUUUUACUGCCUCCCAUAACUGUGUUAUUCAUCUGUCUCACUAAUUCUCUGUCCUGACAGAGGAGUACGUGCAGCUGACCUCCUGAACUGGGCAUGGAAGAAGCAGAGAAAGCCAGUAAGGAAAAAGAAUUAGUUAGGUUCUGUGGAGUAGAGAACAUCAUCCUAAGCAUGUCAGCUGAUGGAAACCAAAUAGGAGACAGCAGAACUCAGGCAUUCGAAGGGUCUGCUUUGAAACAAAGGAAGACAUCUUAGCAUCCCUCUCUACCUGUCUUCAUAAAUUAUGUGUGCUAAUGACACGCUAUUAGAAUUACGGAUCUCGUUUGUAACAGAUCAUGUAUAGAACAAAUUGCCUCUUAUCCUGAUUCCAAACUGGGCACCGACAGCUCACCUUGUAGCGGUUGUGACUGCAGGGCCAUCUAAAGACCAAGUUAUUCAGGCUCACAAGCACAUGCAUAUCUGGGAUUGACAUCUUCAUUGCAAAGAUGGAACUAAAAUAAAUUCAGAGGAAAAAGAUGCAGAUAUUUAAUUUCCAACAGUAGUGUCCAAAUCAGGAGAGGAACUGUGGUGGUCUUUAGUGAGUGUGAUGAGCAUUAUCCACUCUUUAAGUAACAUGUUGGCUCAGUAUUUUCACUUUGUCACACUUUGUAACAGCUGGAUUUCUAACUGAGGCAGUGCAUCAUCCCAUCAUGGCCUGACCUGAUGUCUCCACCUCACAGCAGAAUAAUUAUAUACAAAAGAGUUAUUUUGCAGAUUCUGUUCACUCUUUAAUUUUAGUGCAAGAUCUCCUGCCCUGUUUUGCCAAUUGACCAUGAAAGCCACAUGUUAUGAAUUUCAUUUCCUGACUGGAUAAAAAUGUGACAGAUUGAGGAUGACAUAUGCUCACAUCAGCUCUUCAGAGUGGAAAAUAAAAUGUCUGCUUACAAACUUUUGGAACAGGAAAAGGGUUAGGAUUGAUUUGGAAGCUAAGCAAACCCUUAUCUGUUCUUCUGAUUCAGAACUAGAGGCCAGGUUUGCCAGGGCUGUGGGAGCUCUCUGUGUUCCAACAGGUCAUUAAAGUUGAACUGCCUUAUUUUUCUGCUUAAAAAGGAAAGGGUUGUGAACAUGUUUGACAGUUAAGGACAUUUGUUCAGCAUCUUCUUCAUUUUACAAAGUCCCACGUCCUCACUGCACUUUUCCCUGUUCCCAUCACAGAAUCUCUCUCUGUUGUGCUCAGGCCUUGAAAUCACCCAAGGUCACUACUGCAAAACACAGCGUGCCCUGAGGACCUCCCCAGCCUUUCUGCACAGGGUGAAAAAUGCCUUCAUUAUAAGGACUGAUCAUUAGUGGAUGUGAAGUUGAGAAGAUGAUGAAGAUGAGUUGUUGGGUCUGGCAGAGAAUUGACCCAUCAGUGUCAUUAAGUGAACUGCGGCAAGCCCAGCAAUUCCCAUGGGGCAAAUCAUUGAAUUCCUCAGGAGCAAAGGUCUGUGUCUGUCUAUACCAAAGCACUUUGAAAUGUACACACAUGCAGUUUGCAGUAGUCUGAUGGAUAACUAAACAAUUACACAGGCAGUAACUGAUUUGUCCUUCUCUUUUCAUGAAAGAAACAACCUUUAAGGUACUGUGUUUUAGUUUCCUUUCUAUGUGACGGUUUAAAUAACGUUUAUAUCCACUGCCCUUUCAACUCUGUAUUACCAAAGUUAGCUCCAAGCUGCAUGCACCUCCCAACACACAAAAGCUCUGUAUUAAAAAUGUUAAUUGCAAUUCUGAGUUCUUUUCCUUCUAAAUACUGAACGACAAGACCGGCUCUCUGAGCUCUAAGGAAUUUGUAAUCAAUGUUUUUCACAUAGCUGUAAAAACACCUUCCUGUAGAGCAGCCUCAGUGACAAGCAACUGAAUGAAAAACGAG